rnacentral:rRNA from 1 species
GUGAGGAAUAUUGGUCAAUGGGCGAGAGCCUGAACCAGCCAAGUAGCGUGCAGGAUGACGGCCCUAUGGGUUGUAAACUGCUUUUACACGGGGAUAAAGUGUGCGACGUGUCGUUCAUUGCAGGUACCGUGCGAAUAAGGACCGGCUAAUUCCGUGCCAGCAGCCGCGGUAAUACGGAAGGUCCGGGCGUUAUCCGGAUUUAUUGGGUUUAAAGGGAGCGUAGGCCGUCUGUUAAGCGUGUUGUGAAAUGUAGAUGCUCAACAUCUGAAUUGCAGCGCGAACUGAUAGACGUGAGUGCGCAGGAAGUAGGCGGAAUUCGUGGUGUAGCGGUGAAAUGCUUAGAUAUCACGAAGAACUCCGAUUGCGAAGGCAGCUUACUGUAGCGCCACUGACGCUGAAGCUCGAAAGUGCGGGUAUCGAACAGGAUUAGAAACCCCUGUAGUCC